AGCGAACGCUGGCGGCAGGCCUAACACAUGCAAGUCGAACGAACCUUUCGGGGUUAGUGGCGGACGGGUGAGUAACACGUGGGAACGUGCCUUUAGGUUCGGAAUAACUCAGGGAAACUUGUGCUAAUACCGAAUGUGCCCUUCGGGGGAAAGAUUAAUCGCCUUUAGAGCGGCCCGCGUCUGAUUAGCUAGUUGGUUGAGGUAAUGGCUCACCAAGGCGACGAUCAGUAGCUGGUCUGAGAGGAUGAUCAGCCACAUUGGGACUGAGACACGGCCCAAACUCCUACGGGGAGAAGCAGUGGGGAAUCUUGCGCAAUGGGCGAAAGCCUGACGAAGCCAGGCCGCGUGAAUGAUGAAGGUCUUAGGAUUGUAAAAUUCUUUCACCGGGGACGAUAAUGACGGUACCCGGAGAAGAAGCCCCGGCUAACUUCGUG
rnacentral:rRNA from 1 species